rnacentral:rRNA from 1 species
AUGCAAGUCGAACGGUAGCACAGAGAGCUUGCUCUCGGGUGACGAGUGGCGGACGGGUGAGUAAUGUCUGGGAAACUGCCUGAUGGAGGGGGAUAACUACUGGAAACGGUAGCUAAUACCGCAUAACGUCGCAAGACCAAAGUGGGGGACCUUCGGGCCUCAUGCCAUCAGAUGUGCCCAGAUGGGAUUAGCUUGUAGGUGAGGUAACGGCUCACCUAGGCGAUGAUCCCUAGCUGGUCUGAGAGGAUGACCAGCCACACUGGAACUGAGACACGGUCCAGACUCCUACGGGAGGCAGCAGUGGGGAAUAUUGCACAAUGGGCGCAAGCCUGAUGCAGCCAUGCCGCGUGUAUGAAGAAGGCCUUCGGGUUGUAAAGUACUUUCAGCGAGGAGGAAGGCGACAAGGUUAAUAACCUUGUCGAUUGACGUUACUCGCAGAAGAAGCACCGGCUAACUCCGUGCCAGCAGCCGCGGUAAUACGGAGGGUGCAAGCGUUAAUCGGAAUUACUGGGCGUAAAGCGCACGCAGGCGGUCUGUCAAGUCGGAUGUGAAAUCCCCGGGCUCAACCUGGGAACUGCAUCCGAAACUGGCAGGCUAGAGUCUUGUAGAGGGGGGUAGAAUUCCAGGUGUAGCGGUGAAAUGCGUAGAGAUCUGGAGGAAUACCGGUGGCGAAGGCGGCCCCCUGGACAAAGACUGACGCUCAGGUGCGAAAGCGUGGGGAGCGAACAGGAUUAGAUACCCUGGUAGUCC